rnacentral:lncRNA from 1 species
GAAGCUGAAAUAAAAGUGAAAGGAUCAUUGUUGUUCUUAUUUUCAGUUUUCUUAAUAUAAUAAAAUUCUUACACCCGGACAUUCGAGAAAUAUAUCCUCCAAAAUGGAUCUCAACAAUAUUACAAUAUAUUUUGAUGAGCUAUAUUAUAGUAUUGUCUAUAGUGUAUAAAUCUAAUGUGAUUAUAGUAUAAUACUUUGAUAUUUGUAAUAGGAAUUAUGUUUUUCCAAGAGACUGAAGUCUUAAUCAUUCUGCAAUAUUAUAACCUUUAUGGGAAUUGGGCAUCAUCAUCAUCAUUUUCUGCAAAUUUGCUCCUUUCUUUUGUAUUUUGUCUAUCCACUGUGAUCUGGGAUGUACACUAGAUAGUUUUUUCCAUUGAACAAUUUAUUAUACUCUAGGACUAAGUUCUCUGUCAAAGCCUCUUGUUCUUUCACUCUUUUCCCCUAUAUUGAGCUGCUCAUUUUUCCCUUGACAGAAAUUGGAGAGACUGCGCAGCCAUUCAAGUGAAGUGAAGAUUGCAGGAGUUGAAGUCCGUUACUCUCGCAAUGGUAACCCUUUUAUCUCAUACUUGGCUAUUUCUCAUCGCAAUGCUGAGAUUAUUCAUUCUGCUCUGGCAAUUAUGCCCACGGAUUAUUCUUCAUCUCCUACCAAUACACCCAUUUGUUUCUAACAGGUUUGAGAACAUCUAGUGUUUAGAUGAUGCUGUAAGUGUCAAAUAGUCAGAGAGCAGGCUCUUCCCUCUACUGUCAGGUUCUCAAAAUCGUUGAAUGCUAUGAUAUUUAUAAAGCAUUGCUGUUGUUUCUCCCUUUGAAGAAAUGCAGAAAUUAGGUAUUCCAACGAAUGAAUUCAUAUCCACUUCCUGGUACAUCAACCAUAAACAAAAUCAAACCUUACUUUAGAUUGAAUCCUCUUAGUUGUUAUUUCUUAUUUCAAAUUCAAAUUCUCUCUGCAGCUCUUUCUCAGAUUUUCCUCUUGGUCAAUAAUGGAGUUCCAGAUUGUGAAAAAAAUGGCUCGUACGAAGCAGACAGCCUGUAAAUCUAGCGGUGGAAAGGCUCUGUGGAAACAACAACAACAAUCCAGUAUAAUCCCACUUAGUGGGGUCUGGGGAGGGUAGUAUAUACGCA